UGCGUAGGGGGCAAGCGUUAUCCGGAUUUACUGGGUGUAAAGGGGGCGCAGACGGCGAUGCAAGCCAGGAGUGAAAGCCCGGGGCCCAACCCCGGGACUGCUCUUGGAACUGCGUGGCUGGAGUGCAGGAGGGGCAGGCGGAAUUCCUGGUGUAGCGGUGAAAUGCGUGGAUAUCAGGAGGAACACCGGUGGCGAAGGCGGCCUGCUGGACUGCAACUGACGUUGAGGCCCGAAAGCGUGGGGAGCAAACAGG
rnacentral:rRNA from 1 species